UUUGACCAACUCUCCCAAUUCUUUGGCCUACCACCAACACCAACAACACCCCUGAAUAAUUCUUCCCUUGAUCCCAUCCAAAUCAAUCCCAUAAGAGACCAAUUAUUCCAUGAUACUUUCAAACUAUUUCCCACCGUUAGAUCUCGUCCUCAACUUUUGCCGCUAGUGCCGCAAAAUGUAGCCGUCUUCACCUUUGUUUUUCCUACUCUACCAAUUAUUGCACCUCAGACGCGGUUUCAACUUAUGAUGAAACAUGCUCUUUCCCCCUCCUCGAUUCCCACCAGCUCUUGCCCUGUUGCUAAAUAAAAAAAAAAGAAGGUGACUAUGAAAAAAACUAAAAAUUUAAAUUCCCUUCAAAUUUGCAAAACUAAGUAGUAAACUUAAUUAUGUUGGUUACGAAAAUU
rnacentral:lncRNA from 1 species